GACGAACGCUGGCGGCGUGCCUAAUACAUGCAAGUCGAACGAGAGCAACCGGUGCUUGCCCUGGUCAAUCUAGUGGCGAACGGGUGAGUAACACGUGGGUAACCUGCCCAUCAGAGGGGGAUAACAUCCGGAAACGGAUGCUAAAACCGCAUAGGUCUUCGAACCGCAUGGUUUGAAGAGGAAAAGAGGCGCAAGCUUCUGCUGAUGGAUGGACCCGCGGUGCAUUAGCUAGUUGGUGAGGUAACGGCUCACCAAGGCCGUGAUGCAUAGCCGACCUGAGAGGGUGAUCGGCCACAUUGGGACUGAGACACGGCCCAAACUCCUACGGGAGGCAGCAGUAGGGAAUCUUCCGCAAUGGACGCAAGUCUGACGGAGCAACGCCGCGUGAGUGAAGAAGGUUCUCGGAUCGUAAAACUCUGUUGUUAGAGAAGAACAAGUGCUAGAGUAACUGUUAGCGCCUUGACGGUAUCUAACCAGAAAGCCACGGCUAACUACGUG
rnacentral:rRNA from 1 species